UACAGAGGGUGCGAGCGUUUAAUCGGAAUUACUGGGCGUAAAGCGUGCGUAGACGGCUAUCUAAGUCGGGUGUGAAAGCCCCGGGCUCAACCUGGGAAUUGCAUUCGAGACUGAAUAGCUAGGGUACGGUAGAGGGAAGCGGAAUUUCCGGUGUAGCGGUGAAAUGCGUAGAUAUCGGAAGGAACAUCAGUGGCGAAAGCGGCUUCCUGGACCAGGUACCGACGGUCAGGCACGAAAGCGUGGGGAGCAAACAGG
rnacentral:rRNA from 1 species